CCCAGUUGCCCCCCUUUGAAAUGAAGACUAUGGACCAGGCAAAGUCUGAUUUGAGCCAACCAGGGCGGAACAAUAAUAGGAUUUAUAAAGUCGGAUUACUCAGUGGGAAAUUUUUUUUUUUCUUAAGAAAAGGGGAGAUCUGAACAUGGAGAAAGCCCAUCCGAAAAUCUCUGUGACUCAAAGGUGAUCUUUGAAUAUUAUUUCUGGGCCUGAGUGAGCUGCAUGCAUUUUGAGUGCCACAAAAGUCAUGGCCUGGUUGAAGGAAAAGGUAGUUAUGGAGGUUAAAACAAAAAACAAAUAAGAAAAACAAAGGAGAGAGUAAAAGGAGAGCAUAGGAGGACAGAGAGUACUCCCAGAAAUGGUUCCAGAUAUCUGUGUAUGUGCUGUGUUCUCUUACUCUUGGGUUUUUUUUUUUUUUUAAACAGCUUUAUUGAGUUAUAAUUUACUUACCUCAGACUCCAUCUGUUGCAAUUAUACAAUUUAAUUAUUUUAAAACUCCGAGUUUGUCAUUUAAGUCUGUUACUUGGCCUCCAUUGUGUCUAAUGAGAGGUUAGUCAUUAAUUGCAUUGUUCUCUUUUCCUCUCUGUUCUUCAGAUUGGGUAACUUCUGUGGAUCUAUCACCAAAUUCCCAUAUUUUUCUUCCAUAUUACAUUUUCAGGUGAAACUUAUGUGUGAAGUUUUCUUUGUUUUUUUUUUUUUGUUUUUUUUUUUGUUUUUAAUAUUUUUUAUUGAAGUUUAACUUUUUUUUAUUGAAGUUCUAU
rnacentral:lncRNA from 1 species